rnacentral:tRNA from 1 species
UGAUAUGGCUCAGUCGGUAGAGCAGCUGAUUCGUAAUCAGCAGGUCGCCAGUUCGAAUCUGGCUAUCA